rnacentral:lncRNA from 1 species
AGGGGGGGAUGUGGCCAUGGUUGACUGGUCGGCGACGCCUCCGGUCAGAUCUGAUCUGACCGGUGCCGCUGGCGGUGGUGGCCAUCUCCUCCAUCGGAGGUGGUCGGCCUGAGGCUGGAUGGUCCGAUCUCGAGAUCCGCCAUCUAGUUCCGGCAGCGAGUCAGGAAGACAUAGUUGCCGGUGAAAACCGAGCCGAUGGCAGGCGAUGGCAGCGUCUGCAUCGUUACCUUGAUGAAGGCAUCGCCGUGUAACUACUGUCGACCCACUCGUGCUGCUCCAGGGGAAACCCUAAGAUCUGGUCUUCCAGAUCGGACGAUGGCGGUACUGCGGUGUCGUUUUCUCUCUUGGGAGCAUCGUUUGUGGAGCAGAGCUGGAAGACAGAGGCAGGAGGUGGAGCGGCUUCGUCUUGCACGGAGCUUUCGGUCGAGAUGUCAAGUCAUGCUUGCCGACAGGUGGUACGCUGUGUUAUGCCUGGUUGGCAGGUGCUACGCACGACAGAUCUUUCAGAAUCUUCGUGGCUGGACGGACGAGCGCGGGGUGGUGACGCCGUGGUGGCGUCGACGGAUGGAUGGACUGGCAAGGAUGAUGCAGAUCUCUCUCCUGAAGAUGGGUCAACGGUUCGAUGAUGAUGGCGGCGUCUAAAACGUGUGCAUGUGGUGUAUGCUUUAGGUCUGCUGCACCGGCUGUGCGUUUCGAUACGUUAUGUGGAUGGAUUGGCGACGGCACCGGUUUUAGAUACGGGGAGUGAGAGCACUCCACAUUAUGGAGUUUUGUAGGUGUGAGUGGUGGCUUCGGGUGGCUUGAUGUAUGUUCUUGUUAGACCUAUGUUGAAUAAUAAAUAAAGAUGGCUGUAUGCAUCGAUUGAUGCAGAGGCCGGNNNNNNNNNNNNNNNNNNNNNNNNNNNNNNNNNNNNNNNNNNNNNNNNNNNNNNNNNNNNNNNNNNNNNNNNNNNNNNNNNNNNNNNNNNNNNNNNNNNNNNNNNNNNNNNNNNNNNNNNNNNNNNNNNNNNNNNNNNNNNNNNNNNNNNNNNNNNNNNNNNNNNNNNNNNNNNNNNNNNNNNNNNNNNNNNNNNNNNNNNNNNNNNNNNNNNNNNNNNNNNNNNNNNNNNNNNNNNNNNNNNNNNNNNNNNNNNNACCUUCUAUUCUGAGGGUAUCCGGUAAACAGAGCUCGGGACACCUCAUCUUUGGGCUCCCUUGGCGCCCCGACCCUUGCGCUAACCAUUUUUUAUUCGAGAAGUGCUAAUCAUAAUUAUGUCCUAAUCCAUCCUAACUUGGUGUCAACCUACAGAUAAGAUUGGGGCGUUUGUGUGCUAUGAUUGUAUCCUAAUAAUAAUUAUGUGUUAAUCAAUGGUAGUUGGUGCUAAUCAUUUCUUCUCAGGUCUUAUCUUAAUUGCAAUUAAUAAUUAUGAUGUUCAUUGAUGUUUUGGAUGUGGGUCAGUACCAUUAGAAUACUAUAUAAAGGUAAAAGCCCCUAUGUGGAGAUAUAGGGGGUUGUGUUUUCGGGGCUCUGCUUGACUUGCUCUAAAGUCAUGUUUCAAGCACCACACCAAUUCAAGAUUCGUAUAGACUUGCCUGAAUGGGCAUCAUUCGGGCCACAAAUGAGUUUAGCCACAGAGCUAGAACAGAACCCUUGUUGAGAACUUUCAGCAUGAAAUUGGCAAAGUUCAGUUACAGUUUUGGAUUUCUGACCCUAUCAUCACCAAGUCACUUGGUUUAUCAAGUGGCCAAGUCGGAGUUGCUCAUGUUAGCAUCGUUGAUUUAAAAUACUUACCAGGAAGGAGUGACUUCAACACAGAAAUAGACGUGGCCAAGUUAGGCAAAAAGUUGAUUGCAAAGGCUGCACCUCUUUGUACAGUUUCCUUUAUAUCGGGAGAAAAUCAUACAUACUGGUGACCCCCCUAGAAAGCAAGGUAGUACUAUAAUUUUUUCUGUUGAGAAAGGUAUUUUUUUCCGACAAGGAGGAUGACCACCGGGCAUCAGGACGAUGCAUGCAGACAUUUUAUUAACUAUUCACCUAGACCUUACAAAGUAAUACAUCAAUAAGUCCGAAGCCACCAUCUCGGCAACAUCUGUCACUACUCCUUUCAACUUGAUGAGGGAUGCAGAUUGUCUGAGCCGCAUACCAAGACCUCAAAUCAAAGCCAACAUCUGAAGCCGGAGGGCCCAACCAAGCUGCAUUGCCGGGUCUGGGGCACACACCACUGGUCCAGCGCACUCUCAGUGGUCACCGCAUGCGCACGCUGCAGAGGCCGCCACCAUCGUCUUCCACUAAUUCAUCUUCAGAGCAGGUACUGACGCAUCAACCUUACCAGGCCUGCCCUCGACACCACCACAGUGCCAGACAACGCCACCUCCCUAUGCGCGUCCAUCUUUCUCAACUUUUUUCUGAUUCGGAUGUAUAUACACACUUUAGGUGUUUGUUCAUAUUUGAGUCCGUACGUAGUCCAUAUCGAAAUAUCCAAAACAUCUUAUAUUUAAGAACGGAGGGAGUACAAUUUAACGCAUCCACACAAAUCUUCUUUUACAAAACAAAAGCUAAAAAUAGUUUAUUUAGCCAACUGGCCUAAUCCAAUUGGGGAUUAAUAGUUCCAGAAGAUAUAUUUUGAUCAUGAUAGACAGGUACUGGGAGUCAUUUCUUAGUUUAGCAUAAGCUGUUAUCAAUACACGUCAGUCACAUAAUAUCAAUACACGUCAGUCACAUAUAUAAUUUAUAAUGGCAUAAAGCAAAGAGAGUCCCGGACGGCUCUUGUUUCGGUGGUCUAAGAAGUGAAAAAGACCUCUCAACAAGAGCAAGCAUAACUCCCUUAGCCUGAAGAGUUGAACGUACUGGGAUUUUGGAACACUUGCUAGAAGCUUUCAAACCUCCACUGCAUUUUCAGUCGUACACCAGAACAGUGCUACUGCCCACUGAUAUCAAGAAUCAACCUGGAAGUGGGCUAUGCGCGUUCACUAGAAUGGCCACGACAGCACAAAACUCAAAAAGAUAGACACGCCUGGUCUGAUGCCCCCGUCGGUCGACAUGAAUGGCAGGCAGGCAGGCAGGACAGGGACGAGCACAUCACGUCAGCUGCUGAGUGCUGACACGGAGCGCGCACGGCACAGCAAGAGGCAAGAGAGAAGAGACGAUCGAGCAUCAGGUUUGCACCAGUAUCUGCACAAACAACGAUACAGAUGGAAUCGGCAUCCAAAGGAGAAAUUGCCGGUGUGGCUCCAAUUCUCGACACGGAGCGACGCGAGUUUUUCUUGGCGCUAGGAAACCCGGUCGCUCACAAGCAGUCACAUUUGGACCAACUCGCGCUACGCUACUGUUGUUGCAGCAGAGCAAGACAGGGGCAAACAUAUAGGUACAGUAGAAACAAGAGCGCAAGCAAGCAAGCAAGCGAGCGAGAGGAUUACCUUGCGAGGGGUGGGUGCGCGGGAAGGCGGCGACGGGGAUGUCCUCGAAGCAGGAGUUGAGCUUCUCCGACGGGGACAGCUGCGGCUGCGCCACCUCCCACAGGUCCUCCACCCGGUGCCCGAUCUCCGCCUCCGGGCUCCGCGGGCUGUCCGUCUCCAUCUCCUCUCCCCAAACUCGGCGUCCUCCGCCUCCCCCACUCUGUCUCCCCCUUCUUGGCCGGACCGGAGUACUUCCUCCUGGAUUCUCCCAACAGCUCUGUAAAUAACUGCACGAUCUCUCUCUCCUCUUCUGCUUGCUGCUACGCGCGGGGAAAUGCAAGAGAUAUAUUAAACUCUAAGCCAAAUUGCUGCGUCGACGGAUGCGAACCCGCUGAUACUAAUAAUACUGGCACUCCGCCUCCGCAGUCAGUGUAGUGGUGUCUUGUUCUUAUCUCUGCGAGUCUAAACUGUCAACGCGAGAGAGGGGCCCGCGUGCGAGUGCGAGGACGUGCUGCUCUCCGCGGCGUGCGUCCACGAAGCACGCUGACAGGAGGGGAGCACAAUAUAGAGGGACCACAUGUCAUCGAUGCUGCUCGAGAUCGAGCUUUGUCCUUCCAAGUCUGUUUCUGGCGACCAGACGAGCAAAACCGCUGCGGCGAGGCGGCUCAUGGACAGCCCGUGUGGACGUGGCCAGAUUAGCUGGUUUUCUUCCUUCUUACCCUCUUUCAGCUGGCUUCGUCAGAUUAUGUGGGGCCCAGGUUAAUAUAUUUAGUAUGUAAUAAUCCAGAAGGUUCGGGGUGUGCUACGUCGAGGCGCACGAUAAUAACUACACCCUCGUGUAUUUAAUACUCCCUCCGUUUUAUACUGCAGUGCGUAUAGAUUUAUCAAAAAAAAAAUCAAAACUUUAUAAAAUUUGAUCAAGUUUAUAACUACGCCAAGGUCCUCUCCCCCUCUCCCUCCCGUGGCGCCCCGCGGGCGCCCCUGGAGAAAACCCUAGCCUGUCACUGUAGCUCCCCCCUCCUCCACUGUCGUUAGUGGGCGUCGUCGGGCAAAGUCUGUGCUGCGUCGGCAACAGCGGGCCUAUUCACUUCCUCGCAUCGGCCGGGGGGCGUGGGAAGUCAGAUCCGGCGGAGGCUCACACGCGCGGCGGCUGGGUGCGACUUGGCGUCGACUACGAGCUCGAGGAGGCUUGGACGGGAGGAACGAUGUCGACGGUGUUCCAGGCGGAUGCAGCGGCUCGAGUGGGCUUCCCUCCCCGUCUGGAUCUAGCCUAUGCAGCGGCGGCGACUCGGCUUGUCGUGGCUGGAGGUGGUAGGAGGUUGCCGCACUGAGAAGAAGGUGGAGAGUGGUGGGUUGGAUAUGCGACUCUGCUGGCGGAAGUUGGCGGAGUUUGGUGAUGCUCGUGGCACCAUGGAGGUGGAGGGGCUGCCCUUAGCUUCGGGGGAGGGGGGAGGGGGAGGGCGGCGGUGUUGGGCGGGCCUAGACCGGUGGUAUUGGCCAGUGUGCUUUGCCUCUUCUCGCCCACUGGUGGUCUUUGCACUGGUGGCCUGGGUCCGCUGGGCGUGGUGGCUUCGAUGGUUGGUGGUAGUUCCUGGCGGUGGGUGGUUCGACUCCAGAUGCGAGGUGGUGGUGGAGAUGGUGGAGGUUGUUGUACUGCUUGAUGUGACGCCUCCCAUCAUGGUGGCCAGCCUGAUUGAGCAGCUCCGGGACUUUGGGUUUUGUGAUCUUGAGCUAGGAGCAAUCCAUGCUUCGCGACGCUGAGGCUAGCAAUGGCAACAUCCAUGGGGGCCGUCCCCUCCCUGGAGGCAUUGCUUUGGCCCCGAUCAAACUCCCUCACUCAUGCUCAGCGGAAACUCUUGGUCUAGCCUUUGGACUAGGUGGCGGCGGCAAGGUGUUGUUCCCUCCUUGAAGGCGAUAUCUCGUUGCUCGAGGAGUCCCGGUGGCACAACUCUUGUCGGUGUCGGCUACCACUCUGGGUGUGGGCCUUCGCGGCGCAAUGUACACCAUCGCCGGAGCUCUCUCGACUCCUCCUCUUCUAGGUCCUCCCAAUCCCUGCCAUCCACUUGUCGACUUCCUCUUGGCACAAUGGGCGGGGUACGUUGGUUUGUGUUGUCCCGAGUCUUGGUCUUGUUGUUGUUGGGAAACGUUGCAUGGAAAACAAUUUUUUUCUACGCACAUGCAAGAUAUAUCCAUGGAGAUGCAUAGCAGCGAGGGGGAGAGUAUGUCUAUGUACCCUCGUAGACCGUAAGCGGAAGCGUUUGACAACACGGUUGAUGUAGUCGAACUUCUUCGCGAUCCAACCGAUCGAGUACCGAACGUACGACACCUCCGCGUUCAGCACACGUUCAGCUCGGUGACGUCCACGCCUUCUUGAUCCAGUAAGACAACAAGGUAGUGGAUGAGUUCCGGCAGCACGACGGCGUGGUGACGGUGAUGAUGAAGUUAUCUCUGAAGGGCUUCGCCUAAGCACUACAAAAAUAUGACCGGGGGUUUAAACAGUGGAGGGGGCGCCGCACACGGCUAAGCAAUUGUUCUGGUUGUGCUAGGUGCACCCCUCCCACAUAUAUAGAGGUGGGGGUGGAGGGAGCAGUGAGGAGGCGCCCCCCCAAGUAGGUCAAAUCCUACUUGGGGUCCUCCCAAGUGGCGCCCCCUUCCUUAUAUAAGUGCGGGAGGAAGGAAGGAGGAGGUGCCCCCCCCUUUCCUUUCUCCCCUGAGGAGGGAAAGGCAGGAGGGGCCAUCCCUCCCCUUUCCUUCCCCCUAGGGCUGGCCUGCCAUGUAGAGGGGCGCACCAGCCCCCUAUUGGGUUGGUCUGUCCCCUCCUUUGGCCCAUUAAGCCCAUACACUUACUGAGGGUGUCCGGAACCCCUUACGUUGACCCGAUGACUACCCAGUGCACUCUGAAACUAUUUCGGUGUCCGAAUACCAUCAUCCUAUAUAUCAAUCUUUACCUCUCGACCAUUUUGAGACUCCUCAUCAUGUCCGUGAUCUCAUCCGGGACUCCGGACAAAAUUCGGCACCAAAUCAUAUAACUCAUAUAACACUAUAUCGUCAACGAUCGUUUAAGCGUGCGGACCCUACGGGUUCGAGAACUAUGUAGACAUGACCGAGAAACCUCUUCAGUCUAUAACCAAUAGCGGAACCUGGAUGCCCAUAUUGGCUCCUACAUAUUCUACGAAGAUCUUUAUAGGUCGAAAUGUUAUGACAACAUACGUAAUUCCCUUUGUCCAUCAGUAUGUUACUUGCCCGAGAUUCGAUCUCGGUAUCUUCAUAUCUAGUUCAAUCUCGUUACCGGCAAGUUUCUUUACUUGUUCCGUAAUACAUCUCCUCGUAACUAACUCCUUAGUCAUUUGCUUGCAAGCUUAUGAUGUGUAUUAUCGAGAGGGCCCAGAGAUACCUCUCCGAUACUCGGAGUGACAAAUCCUAACCUUGAUCUGUGCCAACUCAACAAACACCUUCGGAGAUACCUGUAGAGCAUCUUUAUGAUCACCCAGUUACGUUGUG